rnacentral:rRNA from 1 species
GACGAACGCUGGCGGCGUGCUUAACACAUGCAAGUCGAACGGAAAGGCCCUGCUUUUGUGGGGUGCUCGAGUGGCGAACGGGUGAGUAACACGUGAGUAACCUGCCCUUGACUUUGGGAUAACUUCAGGAAACUGGGGCUAAUACCGGAUAGGAGCUCCUGCUGCAUGGUGGGGGUUGGAAAGUUUCGGCGGUUGGGGAUGGACUCGCGGCUUAUCAGCUUGUUGGGGGGGUAGUGGCUUACCAAGGCUUUGACGGGUAGCCGGCGUGAGAGGGUGAACGGGCUCCUGGCGACUGAGAGACGCAGCAGAAUCCAAUCGGAGGCAGUAGUGGGGAGUAUUACGCAAUGGGCGGAAGCGUGAUGCAGCGACGCCCCGUGCGGAAUGCCGGCCUUCGGGUUGUAAACCGCUGUCGACUGUGACGAAGCGUGAGUGACGGUAAUGGGUAAAGAAGCACCGGCUAACUACGUG